rnacentral:rRNA from 1 species
GACGUAGGGGGCCAGCGUUGCUCGGAAUUACUGGGCGUAAAGGGUUCGUAGGCGGUGCGGCAAGUUGGGAGUGAAAUCUCUGGGCUUAACCCAGAGGCUGCUUCCAAAACUGCCGUGCUAGAGUGCGAGAGAGGCCAGUGGAAUUGCAGGUGUAGCGGUGAAAUGCGUAGAUAUCUGCAGGAACACCCGUGGCGAAGGCGGCUGGCUGGAUCGCAACUGACGCUGAGGAACGAAAGCUAGGGGAGCAAACAGG